rnacentral:rRNA from 1 species
GAUGAACGCUGGCGGCGUGCCUAAUACAUGCAAGUCGAGCGAACAGAUAAGGAGCUUGCUCCUUUGACGUUAGCGGCGGACGGGUGAGUAACACGUGGGUAACCUACCUAUAAGACUGGAAUAACUCCGGGAAACCGGGGCUAAUGCCGGAUAACAUUUAGAACCGCAUGGUUCUAAAGUGAAAGAUGGUUUUGCUAUCACUUAUAGAUGGACCCGCGCCGUAUUAGCUAGUUGGUAAGGUAACGGCUUACCAAGGCAACGAUACGUAGCCGACCUGAGAGGGUGAUCGGCCACACUGGAACUGAGACACGGUCCAGACUCCUACGGGAGGCAGCAGUAGGGAGUCUUCCGCAAUGGGCGAAAGCCUGACGGAGCAACGCCGCGUGAGUGAUGAAGGUCUUCGGAUCGUAAAACUCUGUUAUUAGGGAAGAACAAAUGUGUAAGUAACUGUGCACGUCUUGACGGUACCUAAUCAGAAAGCCACGGCUAACUACGUG